rnacentral:rRNA from 1 species
GAGUAACGGAGGAGCACGAAGGUUGGCUAAUCCUGGUCGGACAUCAGGAGGUUAGUGCAAUGGCAUAAGCCAGCUUGACUGCGAGCGUGACGGCGCGAGCAGGUGCGAAAGCAGGUCAUAGUGAUCCGGUGGUUCUGAAUGGAAGGGCCAUCGCUCAACGGAUAAAAGGUACUCCGGGGAUAACAGGCUGAUACCGCCCAAGAGUUCAUAUCGACGGCGGUGUUUGGCACCUCGAUGUCGGCUCAUCACAUCCUGGGGCUGAAGUAGGUCCCAAGGGUAUGGCUGUUCGCCAUUUAAAGUGGUACGCGAGCUGGGUUUAGAACGUCGUGAGACAGUUCGGUCCCUAUCUGCCGUGGGCGCUGGAAGAUUGAGGGGGGCUGCUCCUAGUACGAGAGGACCGGAGUGGACGCAUCACUGGUGUUCGGGUUGUCAUGCCAAUGGCACUGCCCGGUAGCUACAUGCGGAAGAGAUAAGUGCUGAAAGCAUCUAAGCACGAAACUUGCCCCGAGAUGAAUCUUCCCUGAGCCUUUAAGGCUCCUGAAGGAACGUUGAAGACGACGACGUUGAUAGGCCGGGUGUGUAAGCGCAGCGAUGCGUUGAGCUAACCGGUACUAAUGAACCGUGAGGCUUAACCUUACAACGCCGAA